rnacentral:lncRNA from 1 species
CCUCCUUUGUGGAGCUUUUCAUUGUGAGCCUAAAUCUUUGGAUAGAGGGACAGUCUGAAUGUUGGACACUGGCCUCUUCAAGUUCUAUCUACUUUUAUAAAAACUGUAGCCGCUCGGUAGUGGAAUGCUCUGCAAUCCAGGAGAGAAAACAAUCCCUGCAGAGCAGGGGAACCUGCCACAGAAGCUGAUACUGUCAUUAGGAACAGGAAAGAAGUCUUCUCGGUGUUCCUCUGGAGAAGGUAUCAACUCUGGAAGCUGGAGAAGCUGCAUGUUGCAUUUAUCAGCUGCUUUCUUCACUCCAGGUACUUGCUGAACUCUUUGAUACCAACUGGAGAUCAGAGAAUUUGGUGUCUUACCAGGAACUGAUGGAUGCACGGCAAAAGCACUAUAUCUGCCAAGGUAAAAUAAAGCCCCUCUGCAAAAACAUGGUCUAAAGGUGGAAGGUCAGACGUUUUCGUUCUCCUGAUGAGAGGGGCUUCUCUGUUGACUGCAUGUGAUACCUCUUGGACACGUAGCUUAGAGAAAGCUACACUCAGUUCCAAACUUGGAAGUGGAUGUUCAUGCACCUCCACUGCUUUCCCUUCUUCUGUUGCUUCUUCCUCAAGCAGAGACGCUGCAGCCUUGGCACCUGCUUUCUGUUGUUGAAGCUUUUGCCUUCGAAUUUUGUCAUCGUUAUGCACUCGGACAGGCUCUCCAAGUUUUCUUUCAAGCUGUAAAAUGUCAGCAGGAAUAGUCUGACAGUGCUCAGGAGAUGCCGUCAAAAAUCCUUCAACAGCCAGAGGUAUGCUGAUCUCACAGAGUCUGGUCCACUGGCUAACCUGUCAAAUAAAUGUAUCUAAUAAAU